rnacentral:rRNA from 1 species
CUGGCGGCGUGCCUACACAUGCAAGUCGAACGAGAAAGUGGAGCAAUCCAUGAGUAAAGUGGCGACCGGGUGAGUAACACGUGACUAACCUACCCUCGAGUGGGGAAUAACCUCGGGAAACCGGGGCUAAUACCGCAUAACGUCUUCGGACCAAAGGAGCAAUUCGCUUGAGGAGGGGGUCGCGGCCGAUUAGCUAGUUGGUGGGGUAACGGCCCACCAAGGCAAUGAUCGGUAGCCGGCCUGAGAGGGCGCACGGCCACACUGGAACUGAAACACGGUCCAGACUCCUACGGGAGGCAGCAGUGGGGAAUUUUGCGCAAUGGGGGAAACCCUGACGCAGCAACGCCGCGUGGAGGAUGAAGGCCCUUGGGCUGUAAACUCCUUUCGAUCGGGACGAUAAUGACGGUACCGGAUGAAGAAGCACCGGCUAACUCUGUGCCAGCAGCCGCGGUAAUACAGAGGGUGCGAGCGUNGUUCGGAAUUAUUGGGCGUAAAGGGUGCGUAGGCGGUGCGGUAAGUCUUCUGUGAAAUCUCCGGGCUUAACUCGGAAGCUGCAGGGGAAACUGCCGUGCUG